rnacentral:lncRNA from 1 species
UGAAUUCUCAGUGAAUGGUUUUUUGUUUGUAGGUGGCAAACUUACCAGAUCAAACCUGACAGACUUCAGUUACUCUGGACAUCUUAAUGAUUCAUCAUGAUUGACUCAGCUGUGGCACAUCCAUCAUAUGUGAGGACUAGAGUGACCUGAAUUCCCUAUUUCUUUCAUGUUGAUGCCUGGAGACUGAGUCAAGUGACAGCCUAGAAGCAGCAGAAGUUCAGACCUCUGAAUACCCUUCCUUACUGAUCACAAACUGAAUGCUCCUAGGGGACUGAAAAUCAAACCUAACAACAGGACAGAGCCAAGGAACCCUCCUGCUGGACUCAAUUCAAAAGACUGCACAGAGAGAUCUCCUGAGAAAGCUCCAAGAGGGAAGACUGACAG